UAUUUUAGGCUUUGGAGCUGCAAACCAACAUAGAGAACGCUGGUGGUGAGAAAUUAAAAGGACAAAAGGCAAAGGUUGAGAAGAUUCAGACUGAUAUCGACAAAAAUAAUACAGAGAUCAACCGGUGUAAUGUUCAAAUAG